GCAGUACCCAAGAAAUAUCAGGACAGUUACAGUGCUCUGCCUUUUGGUUUGGUUGCCGUUUAGAAGCUGCUUCCCACUGAGAUGAAAGGAGAUUCCAGGAAAUAGUUCCUCCUCUCCCUCUCUGGCAGGAAAGGCAUUCUCUCAAAAGUUCCAGGUGGAACAAGAAGAAUGUGAUGGAGCAUGCAUCUGGCAGCGUGACAUUAUUCCUAUGGUGUGCAGUGUGCCCUCCACGUGGAGAAUCACCAUCGUGAUUUCUGCUGCAAUCAUCUAGGUAUGAAGAGUUGUACUGUGUGCACUGAGGAGAGCUGGAAAGGACAAUGGUGUCAUCACCUGAGGGGAAACAAAAAUCAGAAAGAAACAAGGAGGGGAAAUUUUGGCGCUUAUUUUUAGACUCCGUGGAGAGGGGGAGCUUGAGAUUGAAACAUUCUGGUAACAAUUUUCACCAGAUACAUAUUGUAUGUGUUUUAGAAGUAUUUCUAAUCUUAGAAAGAACAAGAGACAGAAUGGGUAAUAGUCUGUUCUGGUGUGCUGGAGAGGUCUAGCCUUUGGUUGCUGUAUAGGACAGGGAAAAAGCUAAAAUUCCCGCUGUACAGUGAAUACGGUGAGCGUAAGGAAAGAAGAUAGCAUCUUACCAAAGGAUCUUCUGGUUUCCUUUAUAAACAGCUAAGAAGCAGCUUUACCACAUCCGUCACUCAGUAUUAAGCAAAGGACCUUUGAGAGGACAAUAGAUGUUAGGCCUACCAAAAUUCUCUUUGACUGCCUUAGAACGUGUCUGUAGUCUAAGUAGCAGUACAAACUAAUACUGCAUUAAAGCCAGAUGGUUCUAGUUAGUCUGCGGUGUUGUCUUUUAAUUUGAUGUGGAGGCAGAAAAGUACAAUAGAGUCUGAGCUUUGCUUUGAGAAACCUGCUUUUGUCACUAGUCCUGAAGCUGUCCUUUUGACUAACUCCAUGUGAGUCAUUUCAUCUCUGCAUCACUCCCAUACUUUGCAAACUCAUCUGCAGAGGGACCGCUUUCUGGCUAUGUUGUACCUUACACAAUAAAGACCAGGUCUCCUUUGACAUGAUUAGAUAUCGCUGUCAUUAAAUUUAAUAAUUUACAUAAAUUUAUGGUCAGAAUAUUCUAAAUAAGGAUCAAGUGCAAAGCCUGUAUUAUAAAUGAAGCAUUAGAAAAGGCAGGAGAGGAGGCCUGAUUUUUGCCUUCGUGUAGAUAGGAGGAGCUAAACUCUGAAGAGAUAAAUGAAUAGUUCACAAACCAGUCUGCAGAACCAUAAAGUAUUAAUUCCUGAGUUCCAAUAAUAUGUGAAGUGUUUUGAGGCCUGACUGUGGCAAAAUAGCACAGAAGUUUGAGAAGAAUCGAGUUGAACAAUAGAUCUCCUCUGCAGAGGACCAUGUGUAGCUUUUGGAAAAGACUUUUGUAAGGCUGUUCAAUCAGCUUAGGUUCUUGGGUAGUUGUUAAUAGAUACAGUUAGAGUCUUGAUUAAAUGCUACAUAUAAUAGCAUUUAAUUUUGGCUAUAUAUUUUUUAGCCUGUCACAGAACACAUCCCAUUGCAGCUUCUUUAAG